rnacentral:rRNA from 1 species
CCUACGGGGGGCUGCAGUGGGGAAUAUUGGACAAUGGGCGAAAGCCUGAUCCAGCCAUGCCGCGUGUGUGAAGAAGGCCUUCGGGUUGUAAAGCACUUUCAGUGGGGAAGAAAGCCUUGGGGCUAAUACCCUCGAGGAAGGACAUCACCCACAGAAGAAGCACCGGCUAACUCCGUGCCAGCAGCCGCGGUAAUACGGAGGGUGCGAGCGUUAAUCGGAAUUACUGGGCGUAAAGCGCGCGUAGGCGGUCUGAUAAGCCGGUUGUGAAAGCCCCGGGCUCAACCUGGGAACGGCAUCCGGAACUGUCAGGCUAGAGUGCAGGAGAGGAAGGUAGAAUUCCCGGGGUAGCGGUGAAAUGCGUAGAGAUCGGGAGGAAUACCAGUGGCGAAGGCGGCCUUCGGGACUGAAACUGACGCUGAGGUGCGAAAGCGUGGGUAGCAAACAGGAUUAAUACCCGAGUAGUC